rnacentral:rRNA from 1 species
AUACGUAGGGAGCGAGCGUUGUCCGGAAUUACUGGGUGUAAAGGAAGCGUAGGCGGGAGUGCAAGUCAGAUGUGAAAUACAUGGGCUCAACCCAUGGGCUGCAUUUGAAACUGCAUUUCUUGAGUGAAGUAGAGGUAAGCGGAAUUCCUGGUGUAGCGGUGAAAUGCGUAGAUAUCAGGAGGAACACCGGUGGCGAAGGCGGCUUACUGGGCUUUUACUGACGCUGAGGCUCGAGAGCGUGGGGAGCAAACAGGAUUAGAUACCCUGGUAGUCCACGCUGUAAACGAUGAUUACUAGGUGUGGGGGGACUGACCCCUUCCGUGCCGCAGUUAACACAAUAAGUAAUCCACCUGGGGAGUACGGCCGCAAGGUUGAAACUCAAAUGAAUUGACGGGG